CCUGCCUUUAAGACGUGGAUAACAAUUGGAAACAGUUGCUAAGACAGGAUAGGAAAUUAAGAGGCAUCUUUUAAUUUUUAAAAGACCUUUUUCGAAAGGUAUGCUUAAAGAGGGGCUUGCGCCACAUUAGUUAGUUGGUAAGGUAAAAGCUUACCAAGACGAUGAUGUGUAGCUGGACUGAGAGGUCGAACAGCCACAUUGGGACUGAGACACGGCCCAAACUCCUACGGGAGGCAGCAGUAAGGAAUUUUUGGCAAUGGAGGAAACUCUGACCGAGCGACGCCGCGUGAACAAUGAAGUACUUCGGUAUGUAAAGUUCUUUUAUUGAAAAAGAAAAAAUAGUGGAAAAACUAUCUUGACAUUAUUCAAUGAAUAAGCCCCGGCUAAUUAUGUGCCAGCAGCCGCGGUAAUACAUAAGGGGCGAGCGUUAUCCGGAAUUAUUGGGCGUAAAGGGUGCGUAGGCGGUUUGAUAAGUCUAUAGUUUAAAUGCAGUGCUUAACGCUGUAGCGCUAUAGAAACUGUCUGACUAGAGUUAGAUAGAGGCAAGCGGAAUUCCAUGUGUAGCGGUAAAAUGCGUAAAUAUAUGGAGGAACACCAGAGGCGUAGGCGGCUUGCUGGGUCUUAACUGACGCUGAGGCACGAAAGCGUGGGGAGCAAACAGGAUUAGAUACCCUGGUAGUCCACGCCGUAAACGAUGAGUACUAAGUGUCGGGUUUCGGCUCGGUACUGAAGUUAACACAUUAAGUACUCCGCCUGAGUAGUACGUACGCAAGUAUGAAACUUAAAGGAAUUGACGGGACCCCGCACAAGCGGUGGAUCAUGUUGUUUAAUUCGAAGAUACACGAAAAACCUUACCAGGUCUUGACAUAAUUUUGCGACAUUAUAGAAAUAUAAUGAAGGUUAUCAGAAUUACAGGUGGUGCAUGGUUGUCGUCAGCUCGUGUCGUGAGAUGUUAGGUUAAGUCCUAAAACGAGCGCAACCCUUGUCGUUAGUUGCGACCACGUAAUGGUGAGCACUUUAGCGAGACUGCCAAUGAAAAAUUGGAGGAAGGUGAGGAUUACGUCAAAUCAUCAUGCCCCUUAUGAUCUGGGCUACAAACGUGAUACAAUGGCUGUUACAAAGAGUAGCUACAACGUGAGUUUUUAGCCAAUCUCAAAAAAACAGUCUCAGUUCGGAUUGAAGUCUGCAACUCGACUUCAUGAAGUUGGAAUCGCUAGUAAUCGCGAAUCAGCAUGUCGCGGUGAAUACGUUCUCGGGGUUUGUACACACCGCCCGUCAAACCACGAAAGUUGAUAAUACCCGAAAGCGGUCGCCUAACUUCGUCAGAAGAGGGAGCCGUCUAAGGUAGGAUCGAUGAUUGGGGUUAAGUCGUAACAAGGUAUCCCUACCGGAAGGUGGGG
rnacentral:rRNA from 1 species